UUUGUUGUUUGGGAGGAAGGGAAGCGUUUUGAAGGUUUUUUUUGGUUUUAAAGAGAAAACCUUCUCAAUCCAGCUAUUUGUUCAGUUGGAAAAUGGAGGUUUGUGGAGGUUUUCAAAACCCCCCAAAAACCAGACCUUAUAAAACCAUAGGCUCUCUCAAACACAAAUACAUGGUAAAACCUUAGAAAGCAUUUCAAUUACCUUAUAAAACCUCCUCCCAAACAGAGUGUUGGCAUUCCAUGUCUGAUUUAUUUACACACUACAACUUCUUGUCCUUUCUACUUAUGGAGCCUCUAAUCUUGCACAG
rnacentral:misc_RNA from 1 species